CAGCAGCCGCGGUAAUACGAAGGGGGCUAGCGUUGCUCGGAAUUACUGGGCGUAAAGGGAGCGUAGGCGGAUGCUUAAGUCAGAGGUGAAAGCCCAGGGCUCAACCUUGGAACUGCCUUUGAUACUGGACAUCUUGAGUGUGGGAGAGGUAAGCGGAACUCCGAGUGUAGAGGUGAAAUUCGUAGAUAUUCGGAAGAACACCAGUGGCGAAGGCGGCUUACUGGCCCAUUACUGACGCUGAGGCUCGAAAGCGUGGGGAGCAAACAGGAUUAGAUACCCCUGUAGUCCCUGUCUCUUAUAC
rnacentral:rRNA from 1 species